AUUGAACGCUGGCGGCAGGCCUAACACAUGCAAGUCGAACGGUAACAGGAAGAAGCUUGCUUCUUUGCUGACGAGUGUCGGACGGGUGAGUAAUGUCUGGGAAACUGCCUGAUUGAGGGGGAUAACUACUGGAAACGGUAGCUAAUACCGCAUAAUGUCGCAAGACCAAAGAGGGGGACCUUCUGGCCUCUUGCCAUCGGAUGUGCCCAGAUGGGAUUAGCUAGUAGGUGGGGUAACGGCUCACCUAGGCGACGAUCCCUAGCUGGUCUGAGAGGAUGACCAGCCACACUGGAACUGAGACACGGUCCAGACUCCUACGGGAGGCAGCAGUGGGGAAUAUUGCACAAUGGGCGCAAGCCUGAUGCAGCUAUGCCGCGUGUAUGAAGAAGGCCUUCGGGUUGUAAAGUACUUUCAGCGGGGAGGAAGGGAGUAAAGUUAAUACCUUGGCUCAUUGACGUUACCCGCAGAAGAAGCACCGGCUAACUCCGUG
rnacentral:rRNA from 1 species